CAUAGUCUAUAUACAUGGGAUGGAAAUCUAUAUUGAUAGAUUUUAGGAUAUAAUUUGAUUAUAUUAAUCCCUAAUAAUAGACAAAAGAUGCUAGGAAGUUUCUCAUAUGAUGAUAAACUUUAAUCAGAAGAACAACUCUGGUGAGACUAGGAGGUAGCUCUUCUCAAAGGGAACGUACCCUUUGACUCCCAAAGAAAUAAUGCGUAAAUAGAAUCCUUUAUGCGUAAGCA
rnacentral:lncRNA from 1 species